rnacentral:tRNA from 1 species
AAGAUUUUAAGUUAUUCAAACUGACACCCUUCAAAGCUGUUAAAAAAAGUUCAGCCUUUUAAAUCUUA